rnacentral:tRNA from 1 species
GCCGAGAUAGCUCAGUCGGCAGAGCGCAUCCAUGGUAAGGAUGGGGUCACGGGUUCGAAUCCCGUUCUCGGCU